rnacentral:rRNA from 1 species
GUGAGGAAUAUUGGUCAAUGGCCGAGAGGCUGAACCAGCCAAGUCGCGUGAGGGAUGACGGCCCUACGGGUUGUAAACCUCUUUUGUCGGGGAGCAAAGAGAGUCACGUGUGACUCAUUGAGAGUACCCGAAGAAAAAGCAUCGGCUAACUCCGUGCCAGCAGCCGCGGUAAUACGGAGGAUGCGAGCGUUAUCCGGAUUUAUUGGGUUUAAAGGGUGCGCAGGCGGAGGUGCAAGUCAGCGGUCAAAUUGCGGGGCUCAACCCCGUACUGCCGUUGAAACUGCAUCCCUUGAGUGCGCGAGAAGUAUGCGGAAUGCGUGGUGUAGCGGUGAAAUGCAUAGAUAUCACGCAGAACUCCGAUUGCGAAGGCAGCAUACCGGCGCGCAACUGACGCUCAUGCACGAAAGCGUGGGUAUCGAACAGGA